rnacentral:rRNA from 1 species
UACAUGCAGUCGAGCGGACCGACGGGAGCUUGCUCCCUUAGGUCAGCGGCGGACGGGUGAGUAACACGUGGGUAACCUGCCUGUAAGACUGGGAUAACUCCGGGAAACCGGGGCUAAUACCGGAUGCUUGAUUGAACCGCAUGGUUCAAUCAUAAAAGGCGGCUUCGGCUGCCGUUUACAGAUGGACCCGCGGCGCAUUAGCUAGUUGGUGAGGUAACGGCUCACCAAGGCGACGAUGCGUAGCCGACCUGAGAGGGUGAUCGGCCACACUGGGACUGAGACACGGCCCAGACUCCUACGGGAGGCAGCAGUAGGGAAUCUUCCGCAAUGGACGAAAGUCUGACGGAGCAACGCCGCGUGAGUGAUGAAGGUUUUCGGAUCGUAAAGCUCUGUUGUUAGGGAAGAACAAGUACCGUUCGAAUAGGGCGGUACCUUGACGGUACCUAACCAGAAAGCCACGGCUAACUACGUGCCAGCAGCCGCGGUAAUACGUAGGUGGCAAGCGUUGUCCGGAAUUAUUGGGCGUAAAGCGCGCGCAGGCGGUUUCUUAAGUCUGAUGUG